rnacentral:rRNA from 1 species
AUUGAACGCUGGCGGCAGGCUUAACACAUGCAAGUCGAGCGGGGGAAGGUAGCUUGCUACCGGACCUAGCGGCGGACGGGUGAGUAAUGCUUAGGAAUCUGCCUAUUAGUGGGGGACAACAUCUCGAAAGGGAUGCUAAUACCGCAUACGUCCUACGGGAGAAAGUCGGGGCUCGUCGGACCUUGCGCUAAUAGAUGAGCCUAAGUCGGAUUAGCUAGUUGGUGGGGUAAAGGCCUACCAAGGUGACGAUCUGUAGCGGGUCUGAGAGGAUGAUCCGCCACACUGGGACGGAGACACGGCCCAGACUCCUACGGGAGGCAGCAGUGGGGAAUAUUGGACAAUGGGGGGAACCCUGAUCCAGCCAUGCCGCGUGUGUGAAGAAGGCCUUAUGGUUGUAAAGCACUUUAAGCGAGGAGGAGGCUACUCUAGUUAAUACCUAGGGAUAGUGGACGUUACUCGCAGAAUAAGCACCGGCUAACUCUGUGCCAGCCGCCGCCGUAA